rnacentral:rRNA from 1 species
GACGAACGCUGGCGGCGUGCCUAAUACAUGCAAGUAGAACGCACAGUUUAUACCGUAGCUUGCUACACCAUAGACUGUGAGUUGCGAACGGGUGAGUAACGCGUAGGUAACCUGCCUGGUAUCGGGUGAUAACUAUUGGACACGAUAGCUAAUACCUCAUAAUAUUAAUUAUUGCAUGAUAAUUAAUUGAAAGGUUCAAUUGCACCACUACCAGAUGGACCUGCGUUGUAUUAGCUAGUAGGUGAGGUAACGGCUCACCUAGGCGACGAGACAUAUCCGAGCUGAGAGGGGGAGAGGCCACACUGGGAAUGAGACACGGGCCAGACUCCUACAGGAGGCAGAAGUAGGGAAUAUUUGGCAAUGGAGGAAAGUCUGACAGAGCAAAGCCGCGUGAGUGAAGAAGGUUUUCGGAUAGUAAAGAUCUGUUGUAAGAGAAGAAAGGGAGUGAGAGAGGAAAGUUCAAACUGUGAAGGUAACUUAACAGAAAGGGAAGGCUAAAUACGUG